CCAGCCUGCCGCUCCUCAUGCAUGCCCUUGCCCUCACGCCUGGUCCCUCUGCAGCACCUUCUGCGCCUCCGCUCUGCCGCUCGUGCAUCCCGCGCGGCCACGCCGCCGACAGCCUGCUUUGCACCAUCGUCUCUCUGCGGCGGCACCCCGUCUUCCUUCGAGCCGCCAGCCGCAAGUCCCCCAAGGACAGAGAUGGAAAGCAGGUUAACCGGAUGAACCGGCCAAUUUUUUGCGAAACCGGUGGAGCGGCCGGUUUAUAAAGGAACCGGACGGCUUUUGCGUUUGCCCCUCGUUCCUCGGCAGUCAGCACUCAACACAGCGCAUCCAAGGUAAAGGGCAGAACAGGAAACAACGUAUCCGUGCGGGUCCGUCUGCAUCUGCAUUCGGCCUCGUCUCGGUUGGUCCUCGCCGUGCCGCCGGUGGCUCCGCGGUGGCGUCGUUCGCUUGUCCGUGCAAAUGGCCAGCACCCGGCAACCCCAGCCCAGCUACAGCUCAGCCUCAUCCAGCACCAGCAGAGCAGCGACCCUCGCCUCUCCACUCCGUGUCUUCUCGCCGGCAGAGGAGACGGCCUGCAGCUGCAGGACGCAUGGCGACGGGCAAGUCCUUAGCUCCGGCCUGUGUGGCUGCGAUGCCCUGCAACCUGCCCAGGCGUGCGAUGCCCAGCAGCCUGCCCAAGGCCUGCAUAUCCCCUUCAAACGCGAGCAUCGUGAGGUUGGGGAGGGAGCCACGGGGAGCUAGUUUUUUCGACUCCUCACCUCAAAUGGCUCCAGAGACAAUGAUGGCCCUUUGGCAGGGCUUAGAUGGCCCUUUGGCGGGGCUUCGGCUUCUGCUGAUGGAGAAGCCGCUGCUGAAGCCCUGCCAAAGGAAGCCUAAAUAUCACCACAUGCCUAUGAAAUAAUAUCAUGAAACAAUGCACUGGAGAUGAGAGUUUCAUUUUGCAAUAUGCUAUUUUGCUUAUGCGCUGGCUGUCUGGAAACAUAAUAUUGAAGUACUACCCCAAUUGGAUUGGCCUCUUGAGAAAAUUUUUGUACUAUGUACUCUUA